AUUAUGGCCAUCAAACUAUUUAAUAUUGGGAGAGCUGCGAAGUCCGCAUUCUUUUUCGAUGUGCGCAUGCGCCAGAUCUGGCGAGGAGGAAAUUCCGGGCCAUUGUGAUGACGUCUUAGUAUUCUGUCCUGCUGAGAGGCUGGUUUUGGGCCAAACUGAAGUGAGGGUUUUUCCUGUUUGAGCUGCCGAGCUGUGAAGUUUAUUUUAUCAUCCACUUUGUGGAAAACAGCAGCUCGGAUAUUGUACCUAACAUCCUUUUCAUUUUACCCAGAGGAAAGAAAACAAAAUGUGGUUGGAACAGCAUGAGGCAGGUGUUUUAUGACAUUUCCCAGGAUUCUCCUCAUCAGCAUGAGCCGUAUGAAGAAGCGUCCUCGACCUUGAGAGGUGAUGAUGUGCAGGUGUACAGGAGAGUGUGUGUUGGUGUGUGGAGCUCACGCUGCAGUCCCUUUCGCAGUAUAAGUUCCAGGAGCUCACAGCAGGAUGCCAGGUGUGGGUUGGAGUCAAUCACAGUGCCUUCC